ensembl:snoRNA LOC120100435 small nucleolar RNA SNORA17
CCUGCAGGUGUGGCUGCAGGUGUCACUGCUGCUUCACAUGUGUCAGUAGAUGGCAGAGAGGAGAGAGGCUAUGUCUUUGCUCAGUGUUCUUACCUAUGAACAUCUGGAUGAUUCGUAACCUAACAAU